GGGCGAAGUAGGGGCGUGGCAGGAGCCCCGCUCCGCGGAUCCAGGUUGAAAUUCCUCCCUCCUGGAAUCCGACCGUGAGCAUUUCUGAGCGGUGGUGAGGAGGAGGCCACCAAGACACCUCCCUCCCGCUGUGCAAAGGAACGCAGGAGCCCGGCGCAGAUGGAAACCUUUUGAGAAGAGAGACCAGGACUGCUUGAUCUUAAAUUCCCUCUCAGUGUCUGGCUCCCUGUGGUGGUCACUAAAUAACGGCUGGCUAAGUGAUAGCUCUAUAACAGCUCUAUCUAAAUAUUACUACGCAAUAUUUAUCACAUGUUCACUAUGUACCAGGAAUUUGCUACAUAUUCUACAGGUAUUAUCUCAUUCAUUUUUAUAAAAAUCUAAAAAUUAUUAUGGUUUAA
rnacentral:lncRNA from 1 species